rnacentral:rRNA from 1 species
AGUGAACGCUGGCGGCGUGCCUAAUACAUGCAAGUCGAACGAAGUGGCGCACGGGUGAGUAAUAUAUAGUUAAUCUGCCCUACACAGAGGAACAACAGUUGGAAACGACUGCUAAUACCUCAUAGUGUAGGAUGAGACUAUAUCGUAUCAGCUAGUUGGUAAGGUAAUGGCUUACCAAGGCUAUGACGCGUAACUGGUCUGAGGGGAUGAUCAGUCACAUUGGAACUGAGACACGGUCGAAGCUCCUACGAGAAGGGGCCGUAAGGGAUAUUACGCAAUGGGGGAGACCCAGACGCGGCAUCGCCGCGUGGAGGAUGCCACUUUUCGAGGCGUAAACUCCUUUUAUCAGGAAAGCGGUAACUGAUGAAUAAGCACCGGCUAACUCCGUGCCAGCAGCCGCGGUAAUAC